GCAAAAUAUACCUUACCUCCUCGCUGCAAAACUUAUGAGGCCCGAACUGCCCUUCUCUCCUUUGUGCCUUUACGCGCAUUCCAUUUGCAGCAGCUGACUGCGUAAACAAACAUCUCCCUAUUUGCAAGCUAAUCUUUGCUUAUGAGAGAGUCCAUCCAGCCACAGAAGAAAUUUGAUGAGUGGAAAGCCAGAAAGAAAUCUGCUGGUAUUGCAGUAAGCUGGUCCUGCGGAGAUGAACGGUAUUCCUUGUCCUCAAGGCACAGCAAAUGAAACAAGCUGCUCCUCUCUCCAGCUGGGAGUUGCUGAAGGUUAAGCUUAUUAAGUCUGGAGACCUGCUGAGAAGGGAAUGAAGAGCUCACCCAAAGGCAAAAAGUCAGAAAAUGUUUCUUGGGAGAAGAAAGCCAAGGGGAGGAGAGAAUGGCAGGCUACACCCUGCUCUGCUAACGCUGGCAAAACAACGUCAGCAUCCUCUUCUAGGACUGUGUUGUUGGCUGCAGGAGUCUCCAGUCCAGACACUGCACUGUACAAAACAAAUAUCGAAUAUCGAAUAAAAGGUGGAAAUACAUCCCAGGCAACCAAAGAAUUUCCUCCUAGACCUGAUUAGUCUUAUCAGAAAGCUAAUGAUGAUGCCUCUCUGUCUGAUACAUAGGAUGAAAUUACUUAAGUGAGCAGAUAGGAGUAACCAUUUUGGACGUGUGAAGCAAAGAAUGCAUUGUAAUCCAAUGUGUUCCAAGAAGCUGGCAUUCCUGAGGUAGGAAUUUAUCUGCCAUUAUG
ensembl:lncRNA